rnacentral:rRNA from 11 species
AUGCUUUACCAAGACUGAAUAGCCCAAAGACAUCAGAUCCCAUUUGAUCUUGGAAGCUAAACAGGGUCAAUGCAGUUAGUACUUGGAUGGGGGAUUGCCAACAAGUACCAGAUGCUGUAGGAUAUA